rnacentral:rRNA from 1 species
UUGCCUACGGGAGGCAGCAGUGAGGAAUAUUGGUCAAUGGGCGGGAGCCUGAACCAGCCAAGUCGCGUGAGGGAAGACUGCCCUAUGGGUUGUAAACCUCUUUUGUCAGGGAGCAAUUGGCGCUACGUGUAGCGUUAUCGAGAGUACCUGAAGAAAAAGCAUCGGCUAACUCCGUGCAAGAAGCCGCGGUAAUACGGAGGAUGCGAGCGUUAUCCGGAUUUAUUGGGUUUAAAGGGUGCGAAGGCGGAAUGCCAAGUCAGCGGUAAAAUCGCGGGGCUAAACCUCGCUCCGCCGUUGAAACUGGG